rnacentral:rRNA from 1 species
GACGAACGCUGGCGGCGUGCUUAACACAUGCAAGUCGAGCGGUAAGGCCCUUUCGGGGGUACACGAGCGGCGAACGGGUGAGUAACACGUGGGUGACCUGCCCUCAGCUCUGGGAUAAGCCUGGGAAACUGGGUCUAAUACUGGAUAUGACUCCAUGACGCAUGUUGUGGGGUGGAAAGCCUUGUGCGGCUGGGGAUGGGCCCGCGGCCUAUCAGCUUGUUGGUGGGGGAUGGCCUACCAAGGCGACGACGGGUAGCCGGCCUGAGAGGGCGACCGGCCACACUGGGACUGAGACACGGCCCAGACUCCUACGGGAGGCAGCAGUGGGGAAUCUUGCGCAAUGGGCGAAAGCCUGACGCAGCGACGCCGCGUGAGGGAUGACGGCCU